AUUGAACGCUGGCGGCAGGCCUAACACAUGCAAGUCGAGCGAGCGGCGGACGGGUGAGUAAUGUAUGGGGACUGCCCGAUAGCGGGGGAUAACUACUGGAAACGGUAUCUAAUACCGCAUACUAUCGGAUAACCCAUAUGGGAUUAGCUAGUCGGUGAGGUAAUGGCUCACCUAGGCGACGAUCCCUAGCUGGUCUGCGAGGAUGAUCAGCAACAAUGGGAAGGAGACACGGCCCAGACUCCUACGGAGGCAGCAGGGGGGAAUAUUGCACAAUGGGCGCAAGCAUGAUGCAGCCAUGCCGCGUGUAUGAAGAAGGCCCUAGGGUUGUAAAGUACUUUCAGUCGGGAGGCGUGACCGACAGAAGAAGCACCGGCUAACUCCGUGCCAGCAGCCGCGGUAAUAC
rnacentral:rRNA from 1 species